AUGGCAAUAAUGCCGCCGACCUCCAUCUUCUUCUCCGUGAUCGUCUUCAUGCUCCUUUCCAAUGCCAUUACUACUCAAGCCGGUGGCUCUGGUGGUGGCAAACCUAAGGCAACAAGCCUCGUAGUGGAAGCGUGCAAGAACGCUUCGGGCGAGACCCAAGACCCCGAUGUCACAAAGGAAUUCUGUUUGUCGACCCUCCAGUCGGACAAGCGGAGCGCCGAGGCUAAAGACCUCCCUGGCUUGGUGCUCGUCUCCAUCGACAUCCUUAAGGGCCGUGUCACUGAUGCUAGUGUCAAGGUCAAGAAAAUGCUACGAAACGCCAAAAAAGGCACAAUGGCGAUGCACGCUCUCAGUAUUUGUGAGCUGCAAUAUGAGAACGUGGUGAGCACGCUCAACAUCUGCCAAGCCAUGAUUAAGGAUCACCAAGGUGACAAGGGCAUCCUGCAGUCCUUGCGUCUGCCCCACUGUGUGGAUAUCGCCUGCGACACUUCCAACGAGUGCCAAACUGAUCUUGAAGAUGUGCCAGGGACGGAGGCGCUGCAAAUUGAUAACGAGAGGCUGCGCAUUCUGUUCAACCUCAACGCCGCCUUGGUUGUACCAUAUGAUGUCCGUGAUUAG
rnacentral:rRNA from 1 species